rnacentral:rRNA from 1 species
UGGGGAAUAUUGGACAAUGGACCAAGAGUCUGAUCCAGCAAUUCUGUGUGCACGAUGAAGUUUUUCGGAAUGUAAAGUGCUUUCAGUUGGGAAGAAAAAAAUGACGGUACCAACAGAAGAAGUGACGGCUAAAUACGUGCCAGCAGCCGCGGUAAUACGUAUGUCACAAGCGUUAUCCGGAUUUAUUGGGCGUAAAGCGCGUCUAGGUGGUUAUGUAAGUCUGAUGUGAAAAUGCAGGGCUCAACUCUGUAUUGCGUUGGAAACUGUGUAACUAGAGUACUGGAGAGGUAAGCGGAACUACAAGUGUAGAGGUGAAAUUCGUAGAUAUUUGUAGGAAUGCCGAUGGGGAAGCCAGCUUACUGGACAGAUACUGACGCUGAAGCGCGAAAGCGUGGGUAGCAAACAGGAUUAGAUACCCUGGUAGUCCACGCCGUAAACGAUGAUUACUAGGUGUUGGGGGUCGAACCUCAGCGCCCAAGCAAACGCGAUAAGUAAUCCGCCUGGGGAGUAUGUACACAAGUAUG